GUGGGGAAUCUUAGACAAUGGGGGAAACCCUGAUCUAGCCAUGCAGCGUGAGCGAUGAAGGCCUUAGGGUUGUAAAGCUCUUUCAGCUGGGAAGAUAAUGACUGUACCAGCAGAAGAAGCCCCGGCUAACUCCGUGCCAGCAGCCGCGGUAAUACGGAGGGGGCUAGCGUUGUUCGGAAUUACUGGGCGUAAAGCGCACGUAGGCGGACCGGCAAGUCAGAGGUGAAAUCCCAGGGCUCAACCUUGGAACUGCAUUUGAAACUCCUGGUCUUGAGGUCGAGAGAGGAGAGUGGAAUUCCGAGUGUAGAGGUGAAAUUCGUAGAUAUUCGGAAGAACACCAGUGGCGAAGGCGACUCACUGGCCCAAUACUGACGCUGAGGCGCGAAAGCGUGGGGAGCAAACAGGAUUAGAAACCCGUGUAGUCC
rnacentral:rRNA from 1 species